rnacentral:rRNA from 1 species
AGACGUCUACAUUACGAUACCCCUGUAGUCCCAGCCGUAAACUAUGCUCGCUAGGUGUCAGGCAUGGCGCGACCGUGUCUGGUGCCGCAGGGAAGCCGUGAAGCGAGCCACCUGGGAAGUACGGCCGCAAGGCUGAAACUUAAAGGAAUUGCGGGGAGCACCACAACGGGUGGAGCCUGCGGUUUAAUUGGACUCAACGCCGGGAAGCUCACCGGAUAAGACAGCGGAAUGAUUGCCGGGCUGAAGACUCUGCAUGACUAGCUG